rnacentral:rRNA from 1 species
GGCGGCUCGAGUGGUAACCGUUAUUAUUGGGUCUAAAGGGUCUGUAGCCGGCCGGAUAAGUCUCUUGGGAAAUCCAGCAGCUCAACUGUUGGGCUUUCAGGAGAUACUGUCUGGCUCGAGGCCGGGAGAGGUGAGAGGUACUUCAGGGGUAGGGGUGAAAUCUUGUAAUCCUUGAAGGACCACCAGUGGCGAAGGCGUCUCACCAGAACGGACCUGACGGCAAGGGACGAAAGCUAGGGGCACGAACC